AGUAAGAAAUUAAAAGAUAAGUCCUAAGAAGCCUUGAAAUCUCGAAAGAUCUCACAACUCCCUUCAAACGGCUCUAAUCUCCCCUCCAAAGAAUAUCAAUGGCAAGAAGAAGGUUGAAGAUGGCUCCCACAAUCAAAAAGAUUGUUAAAACAACUUCUAAAGAAAACUCAAGAGAAAAUCCUUGAAGAACUCAAAGAGAAUUUUCACUCAAAUCAAAUCUGAAAUUUUCAAUGUAAUUGUAAUGUAAUGUAGGGUGGCUGGCCAAGCCAUAUAAAUAGGCCUUUCAAAUGUUUUCCUAAUUUAAUUAGAACACUAAAACUAAAACUAAAAAAAAAAACUCCUAAUUAUUUUAAUAUGGAAAUUCGGCCAAGGGUCUUUUAUUUGGGACUCUUGGACUGAAUAUAAAAAUUUAAACUAAGUAAAAUAAAUAAAUAAAAAAAUAAAACUUUACAACUUGGGCCACUUUGACAAUUUGGCCUGAUUUUCAACUAAGUAUGGGUGGAUUUCUUGAUUGGGCUUGGAAGAAUUUGCUUAUUGAGCCUCGCCUUCAAGAAUUUGGGCUUUUGUGACUCGUAUCAUUCCCCCCUUCCUCAAAAAGAUUCGUCCUCGAAUCUGAAAAAUCAAAUGAACUCGACUUUCCUCUAUCGAACGGGACUAAUGGCAAUUGAGUCCACUGAGAAGAAUAGCCAUGAGAUAGUAAAUAGCAACGGAAAUAAGCUUGUAGUCCAAUCAUAAGCAUAAUAGAACAGGUAUAACGCAUGUGAAUGGACAGAUUCAGAUUACCAUGCAAACAAUCUAAUUUACUCACCACUGCCUCGUCAAAUAUUUGAAACAAAGAUGGACAUGUUUUAAGGCAUUCAGUGGUCUCACAUUGUUCCCACAAACCAUGAAUAAAUUGCGAGUAAUAAAUCAAAUGGUAAACAUAAUCGUCACAAGUAGGUAUUUGAAAAGAUUCACAUGGUUCACAGAGUUGCAUAAUCAUACCAUGCAUUAAUCGACGGUCUAUAGAUUCACUCACACAUGCAUUAUCAAAAACAAGAAUCUUUUUAUCAACCAUCAAAACAGAUAGAUCAUCAAUAAAUAAAAUAGGACAGUCAAGCACGUUUCGAUCUAAGUGUUCAUCAACACGAUCUUUAUCACUAUCCGAGGAGUACAAAAGUGUUUCAAAGGUUUCAAGCAUCUUACCUCGAUAAGCAGAAGAAUAAGGGUCGAUUUUACCUUUUUCAUUUAAAACAAACCUUCGCUCAUCGGGGGCAUAGUGUAGUCGAAUCUCCGUUGUUGAGUUAACCUUUGUCAAAUGGAACUCAAACUUCAUGUACAACCACAUAAACUGUUUAAGGCACGAAUAUAAAUUGAAAACAAAUUUGGAAAAUUUCGUUACUUUAUUCUCCAAAACAGAUUUGGACAAAUUCAAGGAUUUUACACAAGGUAAAUCAAGAGAAUAACAAAUCACGCUUCUUUUCGUAAUGACUUUAUCAACCACAAUCGAAGAGUAACAAUUAAUCGGAUCAAAAUGAGGGGAUCUUUUAAGAACUAAGUCACCAAAAGUUUUAUCAAUAAUUUUCAAAUCUGCACUGGACUCGGUUUCUAAAAUUUCCUUACCUCGCUUACCUUCGGGAUCAUGUAGUGUGAUUUCAUCUUUGCCUAAGUUGAUCGUAUGAAAGUGUCUUUCAUUUGAGAGGUAUUGAAGUUGAAAGUUAUCUUUCGAUCUUUCGGGAACCUGAAAAGUAGCAACACAAGAAAAAUUCAUAUCUUGGUUAGUGGAAACAUUCCUCACUACCCUUUCCACGUCUUUUUCUUUUGUUUCUUUUUCUAAUUCAUUUUCUCUUCUUUCUUCAAUUUCUUUUUCACUCUCAAUCUCUUUUUGCUCUUUUUCAUUCUCUUUUUCUUUUUCCUCACUUGUUUUAACAGAAUUUUUCAGUUUGAUUUGGUCCUCAUGGACUUGUUCCGAAGUGAGCGGCACUAAGGUGAGUUUCUUUCCUUGAUGCUUGAAAGAAUACCUAUUGGUACGACCAUCGUGAGUGACUUUUCGAUCCAGUUGCCAUGGUUCUCCUAGCAAUAAAUGGCAGGCUUGAAUAGGCAUUACGUCGCACACAACUUCGUCUUGAUACUUACCGAUAGAAAAGGCGAUGCGCACUUGUUGAGUGACCCUAAAUUGGCCUUCGUUGCUAAGCCCUUGUAGUUGAUAAGGUUGUGGAUGCUUGGUAGUGGUUAAGCAAAGCUUUUCCACCAUCGUCGUGCUGGCUAUGUUUGAGCAACUUUCACAAUCAAUAAUAACUCUACAAAGCUUACCUUGUACAUGGCAGCGAGUAUGAAAGAGAUGUUCUCGUUGCUGCUUGCUCUUUGGUUUUGCCAAAGAUGAUUGUCCACGAUCAUGAAAAUCAUCAUCCAUUCUAGGGACACGUUGAGGGCUGCACCUAUGGGGCUGGUUAUCCCUAUCUUCCUUAAUUGGAUCUCGAUAUUGAUGUUUUUGAUUCACUCGUACCUCAUUCAAAGUAGUAUUCAAUGCUUGAAGUGUAGCAUUUAUUUGUGUGAUUGCAGCAGUAUGUCCGUCUAACUGUUGUUGGACUUUCAUAAGUGCAUCAUUAUUAUCACCUUUAGACAUCUUCAAAACUGUAAAAAAUAAACACUCAACACUCAAAAAUAAAAGUUAGCAAACCUCACCAUUAAUCACUCAAAAAGAAAAAUCAAAUUCUCAAUGAGGUCGAAUUCAAUCUUGUGAGUUCUUUAUCAGAGUUUAUAUCAACCAAUUAGAGAGUGUGAACCAAACUACCAAAGAAUCCUAAUUUGCACUAGGAUGCCAAAAACUGACGAGACACCAAGUGAUUCGUGUUGCACCGAGGAAGGAUUGUGCACACGUUUAAAUCCUACUAACACAAGAAACAAGAAGGUGUUAGAUAUUGUAAAAGGAGAAUAAAAAGCAAACAAAUGAAAACCUACAGCUAAGAAUCAAUAAAAAUUGCUGAAAACAGAAAACCCGAAAAACUACGGAGUAACUUGACAACUUCGUUCGAGGUGUUCCCGAUCUCCAAAAAUCACGAAAUUAAAUCUGGAGUGUCCUUAUAUAUUGAAUUUUCGAUCUGGAAAUUUUGGGCACCAAAUUCAACCCGCUGAAUCUUUUUUUAAAUUUUUAUUGAAUUUCGUAUUUUUGAUUUUUUUAACUUUUUUGACUGAUUUUUUUGCGGGAAUAAUUUUUUUAUAUUCAAUCACAGUGCCAAAAACAUGUAUGUAAAAUUUCAGAUCAAUAGGACAACGUUUACCCACUCAAAUGAAUUUUUUUUUGAACAAUUUUUUCUGGGUAAAACUGCUGUUUAUGCUUUAAAAAAUAAAGAUCAGUUUAGAAAUCAACCAAGAACACUCAAAACGCCCAAAAUCUGAUACCAAAUGAUACGGGGUUGCGCGCGGACCAAGAUCGAGUUGCCAAGUCACGGGAAACUCCUACGAAAACCCUAAACAAUUAGAUCUGAAACGAAACAGAAAAUUAAAAGAUUAGAUUUUUGAAUUUUCAGAUCUGAAAUAAAAUCCCCAAAUCAGCAAAGAAUCAAAUUGAGAAUAGAAAUAAGUGUUAGGGUUCUUGAAACCCUCAAGGAGAUUGUGAUUCUGCCCAAUUGAACACCAAGAUAGUUUUCCCCAAAUUUCGACAAUCUAAUUUCACCCAAAAAGAGUAUGGAAAAACCCUAGAAAUUGGGGAUUUUUGGGCUGAUUCCUUAAGAUAGAAAAAGGCUGAAAACACAAUAAGAACAGAAAAUAGAUUAGAUAAUGAUUCAGCACAAGUAGAAAUAAAGAAAGAAUUGACAGUAAGAAAUUAAAAGAUAAGUCCUAAGAAGCCUUGAAAUCUCGAAAGAUCUCACAACUCCCUUCAAACAGCUCUAAUCUCCCCUCCAAAGAAUAUCAAUGGCAAGAAGAAGGUUGAAGAUGGCUCCCACAAUCAAAAAGAUUGUUAAAACAACUUCUAAAGAAAACUCAAGAGAAAAUCCUUGAAGAACUCAAAGAGAAUUUUCACUCAAAUCAAAUCUGAAAUUUUCAAUGUAAUUGUAAUGUAAUGUAGGGUGGCUGGCCAAGCCAUAUAAAUAGGCCUUUCAAAUGUUUUCCUAAUUUAAUUAGAACACUAAAACUAAAACUAAAAAAAAAAACUCCUAAUUAUUUUAAUAUGGAAAUUCGGCCAAGGGUCUUUUAUUUGGGACUCUUGGACUGAAUAUAAAAAUUUAAACUAAGUAAAAUAAAUAAAUAAAAAAAUAAAACUUUACAACUUGGGCCACUUUGACAAUUUGGCCUGAUUUUCAACUAAGUAUGGGUGGAUUUCUUGAUUGGGCUUGGAAGAAUUUGCUUAUUGAGCCUCGCCUUCAAGAAUUUGGGCUUUUGUGACUCGUAUCA
rnacentral:lncRNA from 1 species